CUCAAUUCUCUCUCAACUAUUUCUUUGUUCUCUUUCUCUUUCUUCUCUAAUUUUUCCCUACUUCUCUCAUAAUUCUCUAACAGGGUUCCUUAACCCUAACAUAGAGAGUUACUCAAUUAAUUAGAGUAUUAAGAGAAGAUUAUUUUACAAAAUCCCAUAGACCCAAUCUUAGUUUCCACUUUCAAUUAAAAUCUAUGAUAGUUGCUAUAAAAUCAAACUCAUAAUCUUGUUUUCUAACCAUAGAUUACAAAUCCAAAAAUCAUUCAAGUAUUUGGCCAAAAUACCCAAAAACAUUAAACACAAAGUAGCAACUAAUAACAAAGUAGAAAAAAUUAAAUCAAAAUCUAGAGAUUAACAUCAAGUCAAGCUACAUCAAAAAUCCCUAGCUAAAAGAUUUAGCCACUCAUAAUAUCAAAAACAAAAACAAAAUUUUUCAAAUUAAAACCCAACAUUAUCUCUCAACAAUGAUAAUAGAAGAAACUAAGAUAAAGAAAUGAAGAGAAGAAGAAAACUCUAAGAAGAAAACUCUAUUGUUGAUGCCAAUGUCUUCCUUCAAGUUUUCCCAAAUCACUUCUCUUGAGUCUCUUUCUUUUUCCCAAAUUUUGAGAAAAAAAUAAGUGUUGAAAACCCCCAAAUCUAUUCUCCUCUCCAUCCUCCACAAAAAACCCUCUUAACUAACUCUUAUUUUGGCCCUUCUUAUCCUUUUGACGAGUUGUCAAGGGCUUAUUGGGUGAAAAAGAGCUGGAAAUAACAUUUCCCAGGCAUAUUGUGCGCCUCUGAUGAUUCUCCAAGGUAGGCCAUGUGCCUUUUUACAUCUUUCAGGCAAGCUGUGUGAUUUGGCCUAAUCUCACAGGCAGACCAUGAGAUGCACUGCCAAAAAAAUAACUUCACAAUUUUUCUCUUCUUAUAACCUGGUUGUAGGAUUUCUUCAAUUUUCUUUGCCAGGGUGUGAGAUAUAUUGCUUGAAACACUCAAUUUAACCUUCAAAAUUUCUUUUUCUCUAAUUUUUGACACUAGAAAGCUCUUUUAAGUCAAUCCUUGCAAUAAAAUAAUAAAAAGUAAUUAAAUGAAAUAAAAUAAAUUUGAAACUAAUUAAUCUAAAAAUAUUAACAAAAAUUAACUAAAAGACGAAAAUUGAUAAUAUAAAGAUAAAUAAAAACUAUAUAAAAGAGUUAUGUAUAUUUGCUUCAAGGUAACUCUCAUAAAAAUUGCAUACUUCUAACAAAAAAAAAGGCAAGAAAAGCGGCAUAGAAUGAAGACAAAUGCCUUUAGAGAAAUAGGCAAUCCUUUAAAAUCCUAGCAAGAAUCAUGCACCGUUAGAACUAGCCUAGCAUUGAGAAUUCAUGAUUCACGUUCAGUAGAAUGUAGAAUAUAGAGAUGAAAAACAUAUCAACCAAUGAAAAAAUUAAAAGAAAAAGGUAGGUAAUGCCACAGCUCUAAGUAGUUUAAUGAAAUCACCUAACAGUUAUUGAUACACCAGUUCAUUUCAUUUAUGUUAAAACUCAACUUAACUCAACUCAAUUAAAUUUUUAUCCCAAGA
rnacentral:misc_RNA from 1 species